UCUAAUACCGGAUAUUACCUGCCGAGGCAUCUUGGCGGGUGGAAAGCUCCGGCGGUGCAGGAUGAGCCCGCGGCCUAUCAGCUUGUUGGUGGGGUGAUGGCCUACCAAGGCGACGACGGG
rnacentral:rRNA from 1 species